rnacentral:lncRNA from 1 species
CGACUCGUUUUUCCAUGCUGAUUUCCCCAGUGGCCAAAUCGGAGCCAAAAUCCUGGCCAAACGGCUGGAAAACACGGCCAAAAGCCAGUGGCGCCGCCGCGCCCCUCCUCGGUUUUUGCCUCCGAUGAGGCCCUUCCCGGCCUCCGUUUAAUGCAAUUUUUAUACCACCGUGAUCACCAUUCUUUUCUUUACAGGUUGAUCAGAGCCGAAUCACCAAAACACGA